rnacentral:lncRNA from 1 species
GCCUAGACAACAUGGUGAAACCCCGUCUCUACUAAAAAUACAAAAAUUAGCCAGGCAUGGUGGUGGUUGGGAAGCUAUCCACAGUCAUCCGGGUGAGAGAUGAGGACUGAACUGAGGCAGAAGCAGCGGGGAUUUCACAAGGGAGUCUAAGACCACAGAUGCUGGAGAAGGGCGAUGGGGAGGCCGUGGUUGUUGGUUGGACAUGGGCUGGGGGAGGAGAAUGAAGUAUCCACUGGGCUUGCUGAGCUGGGCAUGGGUGAGUUGAGGGGCAGAGGACACAUCCAAUGUGGACAUCCAGGUGGACGCUCAGGCCUGGGAGUACCCCAGGAGUGCAGCUAUGUGUGUCUCCUGCCCCACAGACAACCAUGAAGGGAUGCUGGUGUACAUGUCAGCCCAAGUAACCUUGGUGGACCCCUGUAACUGCCUGGCUCUAGGAUUCCUCGUCUGCACAAGAGCGAUGCUGCCUCAUGAGCUUGUGGGGACUCUCAGAUGCUGAGCUUUUUACGUAAAAAAAUAGCAGAGGACUACAUGAGUGUAUUCUCAUUGCAAAAAAUCAAAACAUGGAAAAGCAAAAGUGCAAGUUUCUGUUCUCCAAACUUCCUUACCCCCUCCGCCCCCCACCUGCCCAAUUCCUUCCCUUCCCUUUCUGGGUAUCCAUAUAGACAGUUUCCUUCACAUUUACUUACAGACAUAGACUUAUAUGACAAAUAGUUUUGUUUUUGGUGUUUCCCUCUAACAUUUUGUCCAGAAAAACAUAUAGAAAAGUUGAAAGAAUUGCAGAAUGAACACUCUUACAAUCACCUAGGUUUUAGAGUAAACACUUUGCUGUACUGCGUUAUCACACGCCUCCUUAUUUACCCAUGCUUCCUUUCCUCCAUCCGUCC